AAAAUUACCUGGCAGGGGAAAUACCAUGAUUAUGAAGGUGGUUUUCCCAGGGCAAGGCUCAUCUAUUGCACUCUGGAUGUGCUAACCCCUGAGAUUUUCCCAAAUGAGGGAAACUGGACCGCAUAAUUUGUGAUAGUGGGGGACUGCAUUUGCGCUUUCUGCUG
ensembl:snRNA U1 U1 spliceosomal RNA